rnacentral:lncRNA from 1 species
AAGGCACACAGCUAAGGGUCAGCAGCAACACACUGCACUCCUGACUCCUGCUCUGAUACUUGCCUCACUGGAACCGUCAUCCCCUCUCAUGUGGCAAAUGCAGCUGGGUAUGUGGUCAGUGCAACCUGUACUUCUACAGCCACCAGCCUGCAGGCUGGACCCCAUUAGAGUGAGGAACGGAACCCCUGCUAGCCAGCCUCAGGUGACAAAACUGAGGCUCAGAGGCCAAUGGCCUUGUUCAAGGUCACACGCCCACUAAAUGAGAGACCCGGAGACCUGGCAUCACACGCUAACUAAGAAUACUGGAAGGAGAUAAGAUUGGGACUGAAAGACCUGGAUUGAAUGAUUUUUAUCAAGUCACUUCCCUUCCUUGGAUCUCCAUUUACUCAUCAAUAAACUAAGCAGAUUGGAUUAAAUGUUCUGUAAGGUGCCUUCUAGGAAGCACCCCAAUGAACAUCUCCUGCCUCUAUGGUUUUUCUGACAUCCAUCAACAUCUGUCAGAAUUUGAAAAUGUGACUGCUUUUAGGUAAUUGGAUACAUCAUCUUUAGACAUGUUCAAAGGCAUGCGCUCUGUUUUCCAU